rnacentral:rRNA from 1 species
UACGUAGGGUGCAAGCGUUAAUCGGAAUUACUGGGCGUAAAGCGUGCGCAGGCGGUCCGUUAAGACAGAUGUGAAAUCCCCGGGCUUAACCUGGGAACUGCAUUUGUGACUGGCGGACUCGAGUAUGGCAGAGGGGGUAGAAUUCCACGUGUAGCAGUGAAAUGCGUAGAGAUGUGGAGGAAUACCGAUGGCGAAGGCAGCCCCCUGGGCCAAUACUGACGCUCAUG